rnacentral:lncRNA from 1 species
GUUGGGGGUGUGCUGUAUGACAAAGACGCUGUCUAUGUUGACCUUGGUGGCAGCCACGGUUUUCAGGACGAGGUGGGGCCCACCCAUGAGCUGGUCCAGAGUCUCAUCUCCACCCACUCCACCAUUGAUGCCAAGAUGGCUUCAAGUCGAGUGAUGUUGUUUUCUGAUUCCAAGCCACUUGGGUCAGAGGCUAUAGAUAAUCAAGGUGUCAGAGAUGGCUUUGGAUUCCCCGUUCUGUGUGCUGCUGUCUGGCUCCUGAACCCAGCUGUAGAGGUGUGUCAAUCCCAACUGGUGAAGUACUGAGAGGAAGCUACACAAAAGGCAGCAAAGUAUUAGUGAGUGGUGUCAUUGAGCAAACACGAAGUCGGGCUCAUCCAAGGAUGAGAUUUUGCCAGAGAAAGGACGAGCAGCAAGUCAGGGAGCUUAAGGUAAUUAUGGGAAAGUGACUAUCUACAAUUGCUUAGGUAGAAGGAGACAGAUUGGAUUUUUGUGUGUUUGGUAUUUGGGAUAAGAGGGAUGUGGGUGUGUACUUGACAUGGGUUGUUUAUUCUCUCUCUCUCUUUUUUUUUUUUUUUUGAGAGGGAGUCUCACUCUGUCACCCAGGCUGGAGUUCUGUG